GAGUCCCUAGGAGUUCCUUUCAAGCACUUUACGACACACUGUAUUGAGAGUUGUCGUGAAGUGUUUGGGGGAACUCUUAGUGUCGC
rnacentral:pre_miRNA from 10 species